UCUCUGGUAGUAUAUCGGUUAGUAUACGCGCCUGUCAUUAUAGUGAUAGUUAUACGUGGGAAAGCUGGGUUCGACUCCCAGCCAGAGAG